rnacentral:tRNA from 2 species
GGAGAGCUGGCAGAGUGGUCGAUCGUGGCAGUCUCGAAAACUGUUGUACCGCAAGGUACCGGGGGUUCGAAUCCCUCGCUCUCCG